CAUUCCGCUUCUGUAUCCGCUUUGCUACGUAGACGAGAAGACCCUGUAAACUAUAAAAAACCCAAGAAUCCUUUGUUCGGGGCUCAGAAUUUGGACACUGACUCCUCUGGGCCCGCGCACGUUAAAUAAACCUCGUACUCCUGAAUCCCUCGUUGUCUAGUCGCUUCAUUUUCCUGCAACAUUUGGUGCAUUGGCCAGGAAGCGACCUUUCACAAAUUCAGGCAACUUGCCUCCGGCUGGAUAAGGGAACAGUGGCCGGAGUUCCAACCAGAGAAACAGGGGUUGCACGUGCCCUGAGAUUUCUCAGGCCCCCGUCCGAUUGGAACCCACGACCGCCAGCCUGUACUCUAGACGGGAAGUGAGGGUUUUUGGACUACAACCUGACCUGAGACCAGGGGCGCCAAAUCGGAAACAGCCCUGGGCUCUGCGGCGACCCCGGGACCCCGGCCCAUGGGUCCCGGCUCGGCGACGAGUUCAGGACAAGAGCCUCCUCUGCUUCUCUUGCGAGGUGGGCUACCUGCUGCGCGGCUCCGCCUAGCGCACCUGCUUGCUCAACGGGUCCUGGUCAGGGCUGCAGCCUACGUGUGAAGCUGUGUCCUGCGGGAACCCAGGCAUACCCAUCCACGGCAGGAUUGUCAGCAGCGAUGGCAUCCUGUUCUCCAGCUCGGUCAUCUACGCCUGCUGGGAGGGCUACCGGACCACGGGGCUGACAAACUACCAGCGAACUCAAUACCACUUUCCAACAUCCGCUGAACUUUUUAAAAUAAAAAGCACAUGAGCAUUUCAGGUGGGAAGCACAGUGUUCUUCAGGUGCAGGAAAGGCUACCACGCCCAGGGCUCCACCAUGCGCACCUGCCUGGCCAACCUGACGUGGAGUGGAGCGGGACCCAGACCGAGU